rnacentral:rRNA from 1 species
UGGGGAAUAUUGCACAAUGGGCGCAAGCCUGAUGCAGCCAUGCCGCGUGUAUGAAGAAGGCCUUCGGGUUGUAAAGUACUUUCAGCGGGGAGGAAGGGAGUAAAGAUAAUACCUUUGCUCAUUGACGUUACCCGCAGAAGAAGCACCGGCUAACUCCGUGCCAGCAGCCGCGGUAAUACGGAGGGUGCAAGCGUUAAUCGGAAUUACUGGGCGUAAAGCGCACGCAGGCGGUCUGUCAAGUCGGAUGUGAAAUCCCCGGGCUCAACCUGGGAACUGCAUUCGAAACUGGCAAGCUUGAGUCUCGUAGAGGGGGGUAGAAUUCCAGGUGUAGCGGUGAAAUGCGUAGAGAUCUGGAGGAAUACCGGUGGCGAAGGCGGCCCCCUGGACGAAGACUGACGCUCAGGUGCGAAAGCGUGGGGAGCAAACAGG